GCAAGCACAUCCAGUACCACUGACUCUGCUCACGCACUCCAAGUUUAACACAUGCAUAAGGAGUUUCAAGAUCAGAAUAUGAAUUAAAAAAAUCACGUUCAACUUCGCUUGUAUAGGGAAAGCAAACAAAUCUCCAGACCCCUCCCAGCCCAGCUGCUCUGAAUCUGUUCCCAUUCAUUGCUGCUUGGCAUCAGCUGUGGCAAUGCCUUUGUAAAGCAGGAUCCUGGGGACAGAUCCUGCAAGAGGUGCUCCUGGGGGUGGUGCUGGCAGAGGACAGCUCUAAUGUGUAUGCUGCAAGAGGGUAUCUCCCCAAGGAUGGCCCUGUGCUGUGCAGAACUAUUAGGGUUGUGCCAGAGGGAAAUCCAUUACUUUAGAGCCAUCAGAGCAACAAAAGGCUUUGCUGCUUUUUUUUUUUUUUUUUUUUUUUUUUUUGCCAUUUUCUGUAUCUGCCCUUGAACUACUGGAGAAGCAAUAAACGCACUUAAGAGAAACAACUGCAUGGAAGGAAGCAGUAAUUUCCAUAAAGCAGUGUCAGAUGGGCCCUGCUGCAAACACAGCAAUGGGCAGAGCCAGGACCAGACCCACCGUGGGGUGAAGCAGCACAACAACACAGGUACUGGGAUUUCCACCACACACGCUGCUCUGAGGCCACUGUGUAUUGCAUUUAUGAAGUGCAUUAUUGAAGUGCAUUUUGCUUUAUCAAGUGCAAUUGCAUACUUUUGUUUAGGAGAUUCUCCUUCAAAUGCAGCUAUAGCAGCUCUGCCCAUAUAGCCUUCCUGAAGGCCUCUCGCUGCAGACAGAAGUGGUGACUCCUGUACUUAUUUUCUAUUGCUGCCUUAUCUUUGGCAUCUCAGCUGUGACUUUUACUGUUUUUUUCCACUGGUUUCAUCAGAGUGCAGUAAAAGUGGAUGUUUGUUGGGCUUCAGCUCUGCUAAUGAUUCUUGAUCUGCGUGGUGCAGAUGAUGAGAGCCCAGCCUUGAUGAGAAAAUGGCAAGCUAAGUAGGCUAACAAAACAGCAGCAGCAGCAAGAAUCUGGAUCAGCUCCGCUCGGUGAAGUUUUCCUGCUUCAACAGGGGAAAAAAAAAAUCUCUCUUUCUUUCCCUGAAGUCUUUCUUACAAAUACCAAACUGCAAAGGCUGCUCCCUCCGGCUGCUUGCACAAUGCUCCUUGGGCUUCACUGCACUCAGCCUGAUGUGCAAAGGCCCUUGGUGUGAUGGUUUUGGGGCAGCAACGCAGCCUGAGCAGUGCCUGCCCCACAUUCAGCAAUUAUGGGGUGCAGACCCUGAAGGAUGCUCAGCACAGUGCUUCAGUGCUUUUCAUUUGGGAUGCGCCAGCAGCUUCCUGCAGCCCUUGUGGAGGAUGUGCUGCAUCUGCUUGCAACAUCUCCAAAACCGAGAUGACUCACGAGUGCUUUCGCACCCCAGAGACCUUAAUGAUGGGAUGAACUCCCUGAAACGUCAAGCAAGUGUUUGGGAUUUCCUGCUCUGGGGGAAGGAGAGCUUUCGGUUUGGCUUUGAGGCAGAAGAAAGCCCUAUAAGCAUGGCUCAGGCUUCCCCCUCCCAAUGGCUUUUCACUGAGCCAGGAUUACAGUGCACUUUUUCAUUUGUACUCGUCAAAAUUUGAACUCGUGCAAAAUAACAUGGAUUUGGAAGACAAAAAGCAAAAAUGCCAAAACCUUUUUGCACUGUGUGUGGGUAUGGAGUGGUACUGAAUGGCCUCUCCUGCUCUGCUGCUGCAGAAUAUAUCUGGCGUGGCAAAGCUCCAGGAUCCUAGAUCUGCUUUAGUGCUAACAUUGCUCUAGCUGAUAAUGCUAAUCUCUUAAACUAUUCCCAGCCAGGCCCUAAGGAAGGGAGCUAAGCAACUCUGCAGCUAACGAAACAACUUUUGUAAUUAUAGCUCUGGCCGUGGCUGAAAUGCACAGAGCAGCCCUGCGUUUUUUCCAGUCUCCAGUGACCCCACAGCCAAACCAUCACCCAGUGCACCCUACUGGCACAGGGCUGCCUUUGGGGCCAUCAUCCAUCCUGCCCCAUUGGCCCAGGGUUGCCCCUGGAGCCAAACAAGCCAACCAAACCAACUUCUUAGUUAUCUGACACAUCUGCAACCACAGCAUGAGAUGGACAAGUCUGCUUUGUGACUUCCAUGCUAAUUGUGCUCUGUGAACGCCAAUAUUCUUGGAAGAAUGAAGAGUCUCAGCUCCCUAAAUUACUCCUGUGGUUUUAACUGAGCAUCGUUUGUUUCACCUUAGCAGCUAAUGUGUAUGUGUGUGUCACGGGAGGGAAUUCACCCCAAAGGAAGGUCUGCUUUUUGGGAACUGAAGGAAACAAAUGAGCACCACUUGGUGUGGCAGUGAGAAACCUAAAAAAGACACGCUGUGGCUUUAUUCCUUUCCCCUUGCAAUGUAUCACUUUUAUUGCUAUAAUUGCUCAUAUAGUUCAAGCUUUUUAUAUGCUGAUGGUUUCCUGUCCCUGCUGAGCCCUGGGGAGCGUUGCCCUCCUGCCGCAUUGCUGCAGGAACAGCACCAUGGGUGCAGCACAGCCCGAGGUGCAGCUCCAUCCUCAGGGCAAUGCCAUGGGAGCAGCAGAGCAGCGCCACGAGGUGCAGGGUGCACGAUUCCCCCUCGCUCAGCUGCACAGUGCACUUCUUUGACUGACAUCAAACACCACUGCCUGCUGCUUUCCACCCCAGCCAUCUGCCUGUCCUUCAUCCCAUGCUACUUAACUCCUCCAGCAAUGCACCGCACUUCCACACUUCUUUAUCCAUACCUGCAUGCUGCUUAUCAUAGAAUGGCCUGGGUUGAAAAGGGCCACAAUGCUCAUCCAGUUCCAACCCCCUGCUAUGUGCAGGGUCACCAACCACCAGACCAGGCUGCCCAGAGCCACAUCCAGCCUGGCCCUGAAUACCUCCAGGGAUGGGGCAUCCACAACCUUCUUGGGCAACCUGUUCCAGUGCGUCACCAUUCUCUGUGUCCUAUCACUGUCCACCCUCAUUCCUCCUCCUAUUUAUACACUCCCUUCAAGUACUGGAAGGCCUCAUUGAGGUUUCCAGGAGCCUUCUCUUCUCCAAGCUAAACAAGCCCAAUUCCCUCCACCUUUUUUCAUAGCAGAGGUGCUCCAGCCUUCAAAGGUGCUUAAUGCA